GAAAACUAAAAAGAUUCAUGGAUAUCCAGGAAGGCAAAGGUGGGAGAACUUAUAUUUAUGCAACUGGAUGAAUUCCAACGUUCCUGCACAAAGAAGCAGAAAGAAACUUCAAGACAUUCUAUUCUGUGUCAUGCACUUUGGACAUCAAGUUGCACAAGACAACGACCUUGUCCUUCAGUUGAUCAUGGAGUGGAAAAUGAGACAGAUGUAUGAAAAGAGUUACGUGGUCUGAGAAAAAGUUUGGGUGGAGUCCCCAACUGAGUGCUGCUAUCUGAGAAGAGCAGUUCCCUUUCCUGAUUGGCUUGUCUUGUUUCUCUUGUGAUCUCUUCAGCUUUUUCUUGGUGCAAGAAUUAGUCAUGCAUAAUUGCUUCUCUACCCUGAGAGGUGAAGGAGACUACACUUUGCCCCUGAGCAGAAAAUCACACGAAGCAUGUUCUAGCUUCAGCCAUAAUUCUGAGUGAAGGGAGAAGAACUGGCAUUCACCGGUAUUCUCAGUACACAUCCUACAAAGUCUUCCUCAUUCAAGUGAGAGC